rnacentral:misc_RNA from 1 species
GUUCGCCCUGUUCAACGUGUAUCGACUUGUUGCGGCAACAAUCUCUUGGAGCAAUCAUUACUCACCAGACAAGCUGCAUCCUUUCAAAUAAACCGAAACCCUUCUCCCUUUUUCUCUUAUCUCUCAAUCUUUUGCUUCAGCCGCCGCCCUGCAUUCACGUUCCGCCCACCCCACAAAGCCUUUCAUCGCUGCCCAACCCACAGGCUCUCUGUCAUCGCCGCUGCUCCUCAUUCUCACCGCUGCUCUCUUUGUUAUCAAAUCAGUAUGGGAGAAAAGAAGUCGUUGAUUGGGCUCUCAUGGGAGCCGAAGUUGCCGCCUUUGUCAUCUUCGACUAAAAUUAGUAAUACCAAGUCCCAAGACCAACCUGAGAGGAGUGCACUUUGGAAACCCAAUACAGAGCUUAUUGACGGGCUAUUUGUGCCACCCAACGAUCCUAGAAAGGUUAACAGGUUACUCAGAAGUCAAGCUAAAGAUACACUUGGGAAAGAUUGGUUUGAUAUGCCUGCCCCUACUAUGACGCCUGAAUUGAAAAAAGAUCUCCAGUUACUUAAGCUGAGGGGUGCUCUUGAUCCAAAGAGACACUAUAAAAAGGGUGAAUCAAAAUCAAAAACACUGCCCAAGUAUUUCCAGGUUGGUACAGUUGUAGAGUCAGCAAUAGAUUUCUUCUCCGGUAGGCUAACUAAGAAGGAGAGGAAGGCAACCAUUGCAGAUGAGGUGCUUUCUGAUCGUACUCUCGCAGCUUACAGGUGAGAUAGGCAGUCCUCCCCUGCCUUAUAGAGAAGAGAACAUAAUUUCAUUUACGCAUGUUACUGAUAUCAAAAAUAUCAAUUAAUAACAAGGUAGAAGUAAUGCUUAAUUAUAGGCUUUUUGAAAAAGAUUUAUCAUCUAGAAAUAAUGAUAAUCUGAGAUACACCAACAAGAAGAUCAUCAUACUAGCAAAUAAGGGUAACCAACAACUGUUAGCUUUGUUAUUUUUUAGGGAACAGAUGAGCAUGGCUACUUUAUAGAUUGUCAAUUUGUAAGUUUGCAUGUCCAAAUUUUUUUAGAAUAUGUGCUCAUUGUGCAAAAUACAUGAGCUUGAUAUCCAGUCCAUGUGAUAAGCAAGCUUAGUAAGUGCUUUUAUUUUGCCAAUGUUUGAUACAGCAUUGUUGAUCUUGCUUGGAUGUUUACUUUUAACAUGUUACAGGAAGCGCAAGGUCCAAGAGAUAGAAGAACAAAAUCGUCCUGCUGGAAAUGAGAAGUGGAAGAUAAAGGGUCGACAGUCCAGGAAGCGGGCCAAGGAAAGAAGGCACUAGUAGCUCAACGUUUUUCCUCCUUUAGAGUAAAACAGGAUGUGUUGGAGAUGUUGUAGCAACCAGAGGUUGGGGAGAGGAAGAAAUUUGUUGUUUAAUUGCUUCAAAUUUAUUUUAUAUAGACAUUCAUAGUCGUGGUGUCCACAUUAAAAUUUUUAGCAUUUAUUACUAUGUUAGUCCUCUUUGGUAGCCAUCAUGUGAGACUAUUGUGAUGUCAUAACAGAUUCAUUUGCUACGAGGUUAUUCAUAACAGUAGUGCUUGUUCUGGAAUUUGACGGUGGAAAUUGAUUUAUCUUGGUGAAAGAAAAA